UACAGAGGGGGCAAGCGUUGUUCGGAAUUACUGGGCGUAAAGGGCGCGUAGGCGGCCUGUUAAGUCGAACGUGAAAUCCCCGGGCUCAACCCGGGAACUGCGUCCGAUACUGGCAGGCUUGAAUCCGGGAGGGGGAUGCGGAAUUCCAGGUGUAGCGGUGAAAUGCGUAGAUAUCUGGAGGAACACCGGUGGCGAAGGCGGCAUCCUGGACCGGCAUUGACGCUGAGGCGCGAAAGCCAGGGGAGCAAACGGG
rnacentral:rRNA from 1 species